rnacentral:rRNA from 1 species
AGCUUGCUUUUUAAGUUAGCGGCGGACGGGUGAGUAACACGUGGGCAACCUGCCUGUAAGACUGGGAUAACUUCGGGAAACCGGAGCUAAUACCGGAUAAUCCUUUCCUACUCAUGUAGGAAAGCUGAAAGACGGUUUACGCUGUCACUUACAGAUGGGCCCGCGGCGCAUUAGCUAGUUGGUGAGGUAACGGCUCACCAAGGCGACGAUGCGUAGCCGACCUGAGAGGGUGAUCGGCCACACUGGGACUGAGACACGGCCCAGACUCCUACGGGAGGCAGCAGUAGGGAAUCUUCCGCAAUGGACGAAAGUCUGACGGAGCAACGCCGCGUGAGUGAUGAAGGUUUUCGGAUCGUAAAACUCUGUUGUUAGGGAAGAACAAGUACGAGAGUAACUGCUCGUACCUUGACGGUACCUAACCAGAAAGCCACGGCUAACUACGUGCCAGCAGCCGCGGUAAUACGUAGGUGGCAAGCGUUGUCCGGAAUUAUUGGGCGUAAAGCGCGCGCAGGCGGUCCUUUAAGUCUGAUGUGAAAGCCCACGGCUCAACCGUGGAGGGUCAUUGGAAACUG